rnacentral:lncRNA from 1 species
UGAAAAAUGUCCGAUGCAGCCCUUACACCUAACACCAUGUGAGGAUUGUCAUCGUACAUGUCGAUCCUUCUACUGCUAUGAAAAACACAACAUUUAAACAUGGCACCCCAAGGCAUGUAAAUCUGUAAGCAGUUGUGACAUUAACAAGAAAUGUCCAAAAUGCCAUUGUAAUUACAACCUUAAAAUAGACAACCCCCAACCUCACAUAUGUCGGAUGAUAAUCUGCACGAUCUGUAAAGGUAUGUGGUAUCCUACACUGCCCUGUCUGUAAAGGUAUGUGGUAUCCUACACUGCCCUGUCUGUAAAGAUAUGUGGUAUCCUAAACUGCCCUGUCUGUAAAGGUAUGUGGUAUCCUAAACUGCCCUGUCUGUAAAGGUAUGUGGUAUCCUAAACUGCCCUGUCUGUAAAGGGCCUUUGAAAAGCAGAGACCCUGAAGUGGUUCAAGAAGUGGAACAUGAGUGUUAUAUUCAGCCAUUGGCUGAAGAUGAACAUUCAGAGAAAUAUGUAUUUUAUGACUUUGAGAGUAAUCAACAGUCAGGGGUUCAUCUGCCUAUAUGUCACUUCUUUCCUAGAUAUUGGACGAAGGCGCAGCAGGUUGAGUGCUCAUAUUUACUUUUAUUGAACAGUAAAACAACAAAACGUACGAACGAACGAACAGGAUGCAGGCUAAACACAAAGCUAUGCAACUACAACUACCCCCAAAUACCCCAUACAAAACAACCCCUAUACAUAGGACCUUCAAUCAGAGGCAACGAGGAACAGCUGCCUCCAAUUGAAGGUCAAAUCAAUAAACUGAACAUAGACGUAAACAACCUAGAACUAACAUAGAAUGCACUAACCUAGAACCUAAACCUAAAACCCCGGUACACUCUAAACCAACACCCCUCUACAUAAACACAUAGCCCAACAAACCCCUAAACACUCUAAACAAAUACCCCCUGCCACGUCCUGACUAAACAUCAAUAACAAAUAAGCCCUUUACUGGUCAGGACGUGACACUAUAUUUGUAUCUACCAUGAUUUUCAAGGGUGAAAGGUGGUUGGCAAAGAGCCUCAAUUGUGCCCUACUCUUUCUAAAACAUUCCUUAACCUCUUAGGGCUAGGGGGCAGUAUUUACACUGCCGGAUAAAAAACGUCCCCGAUUCUGAUUACUACUCCUACCCAGUUACUAGAAUAUGCAUAUACUUAUUAGAUAUGGAUAGAAAACACCCUAAAGUUUCUAAAACUGUUUGAAUGGUGUCUGUGAGUAUAACAGAACUCAUAUGGCAGGCAAAAACCUGAGAGAUUCCUUUACAGGAAGUGACCUGUCUGACCAUUUAUUGGCUUUCUUUGACAGUGGAAUCCCGUGGCGCGUUAUUCAAAUACCUUAGAAAUGCUAUUACUUCAAUUUCUCAAACAUAUGACUAUUUUACACCAUUUUAAAGACAAGACUCUCGUUAAUCUAACCACACUGUCCGAUUUCAAAAAGGCUUUACAACGAAAGCAAAACAUUAGAUUAUGUCAGCAGAGUACCAAGCCAGAAAUAAUCAGACACCCAUUUUUCAAGCUAGCAUAUAAUGUCACAUAAACCCAAACCACAGCUAAAUGCAGCACUAACCUUUGAUGAUCUUCAUCAGAUGACAAUCUUAGGACAUUAUGUUAUACAAUACAUGCAUGUUUUGUUCAAUCAAGUUCAUAUUUAUAUCAAAAAACAGCUUUUUACAUUAGCAUGUGACGUUCAGAACUAGCAUAACCCCCGCAAACUUCCGGUGAAUUUACAAAAUUACUCACGAUAAACGUUCACAAAAAACAUAACAAUUAUUUUAAGAAUUAUAGAUACAGAACUUCUCUAUGCACUCGCUAUGUCCAAUUUUAAAAUAGCUUUUCGGUGAAAGCACAUUUUGCAAUAUUCUAAGUAGAUAGCCCAGCCAUCACGGCUAGCUAUUUAGACACCUACCAAGUUUAACCCUCACCAAAGUCAGAUUUACUAUAAGAAAAAUGUUAUUACCUUUGCUGUUCUUCGUUAGAAUGCACUCCCAGGACUUCUACUUCAAUAACAAAUGUUGGUUUGGUUCAAAAUAAUCCAUAGUUAUGUUCAAAUAUCCUCUGUUUUGUUCAUGCGUUCAAGACACUAUCCGAAGCGUAAAGAAGGGUGACGCGCCCGACGCGUUUCGUGACAAAAAAAUUCUAAAUAUUCCAUUACCGUACUUCGAAGCAUGUCAACCGCUGUUUAAAAUAAAUUUUUAUGCCAUUUUUCUCGUAAAAAAGCGAUAAUAUUCCGACCGGGAAUCUGUGUUUUAGUUCAAAGAGAGAGAAAAUAAAAACAUUGGGUCGCCUCGUGCACGCGCCUCAGUCUCAUUGUCCUCUGAUAGACCACUUACCAAAGGCGCUAAUGUUUUUCAGCCAGGGGCUGGAAUUACAUCAUUCAGCUUUUUCCCGGGUUCUGAGAGCCUAUGGGAGCCUGAGGAAGUGUCACGUUACAGCAAAGAUCCUAAGUUUUCAAUAAACAGAGUCAAGAAGCCCAAGGAAUGGUCAGAGAGGGCACUUCCUGUACAUAAUCUUCUCAGGUUUUUGCCUGCCAUAUGAGUUCUGUUAUACUCACAGACACCAUUCAAACAGUUUUCGAAACUUUCGGGUGUUUUCUAUCCAAAGCCAAUAAUUAUAUGCAUAUUCUAGUUUCUGGGCAGUAGUAAUAACCAGAUUAAAUCGGGUACGUUUUUUAUCCGGCCGUGUAAAUACUGCCCCCUAGCCCUAACAGGUUAACAACUCGUGAAUGCAACCGCAUAGCCAGAUUUCAAAAUAACUUUACUGGGAAAUCACACUUUACAAUAAACAAGGUACUAUGCUCAGAAAAACAGGCUAGGCGAUACAGACUAGCGCCAUCUUGGACUCAUCUAAAAUCAAAUAUACUAUUGUAAAUAUUCCCUUACCUUUGAUUAUCUUCAUCAGAAGGCACUUCCAGGAAUCCCAGGUCCACAACAAAUGUUGUUUUGUUCAAAGAAGUUCAUCAUUUAUGUCCAAAUAGCUCCUUCUUGUUAGCGCGUUCGAAGGCUACUCAAAAUGUACGAAGCGCGCCGAACAUGCCGCCACGAAAGUAAAACAUUUUUUAUUUACUUACGUUCGUCCAAACAUGUCAAAUGUUGUAUAGCAUAAAUCUUUAGGGCCUUUUUCAAUCAGAACUUCAAUAAUAUUCAAGGCAGACGAUUGCAUUGUCUUACAAAACGUUUCAGAAUGAAAGAGUACCCACAUGCACGGGCAACAUAGUAGUAAUGGCCCUCCCCCUAUGACAAACUUUCCAGGCUUCUCGUUUGGUCAGUUUUUACAGGAGAAGACUCAAAGCAUUUUGUAAAGACUGUUGACAUCUAGUGGAAGCCUUAGGAAGUGCUAAAUGAAUACUAACUCACUGUGUGUUUCAUAGGCAAAGGCUUGAAAAUGAUUCCACACAUCAGAUUUCCACUUCCUGUUAGGAUUUGUCUCAGGGUUUUGACUGCCAUAUGAGUUCUGUUAUACUCAAAGACACCAUUCAAACAGCUUUAGAAACUUUAGAGUGUUUUCUAUCCAAAUCUAAUAAUAAUAUGCAUAUUCUCGUUUCUGGGCAAGAGCAGUAACCAGUUUAAAUCGGGUACGUUUUUAUCCGGUCAUGAAAAUACUGCCCCCUAGCCCCAACAGGUUUUAACACAGCUUACCAACAUUAUUCACUGUUGAUAACACACCUUACCAACAUUAUUCACUGUUGUUGUUAACACACCCUACCUACAUUAUUCACUGUUAUAACACACCUUACCAACAUUAUUCACUGUUGUCUUCCUAUUUCCACAAAUUGUGGCACUUAGUUUCUAUGGGCUAGUCAACAGCCAGCCGAGUCAACAGCCAGUGGAAUCGCGUGGCGCGAAAAACAAAUACCUAAAAAAUGCUAUAACUUCAAUUUCUCAAACAUAUGACUAUUUUACACCAUUUUAAAGACAAGACUCUCGUUAAUCUAACCACAUUGUCCGCUUUCAAAAAAGCUUUACAGCGAAAGAAAAACAUUAGAUUAUCUCAGGAGAGUACCCUGCCAAAAAUUAUCACACAGCCAUUUUCAAAGCAAGCAUAUAUGUCACAAAAACCAAAACCACAGCUAAAUGCAGCACUAACCUUUGAUGAUCUUCAUCAGAUGACACUCCUAGGACAUUAUGUUAUACAAUACAU